rnacentral:lncRNA from 1 species
AGGUGCGCAUCCUCAUAUCGCGGGCCGAUCCGCCUCUCGAUUUCGUUUAUCCCGAAGGCGUCUUUCGUUAACUUGUUUUUCUUGGACGAAGGCUGCGAGGAAGUCGGCGCCGACGACGGGCGGCGUGAAGAAGCCCCACAGGUAUCGGCCCGGGACGGUGGCGCUGCGUGAGAUUAGGAAGUACCAGAAGAGCACGGAGCUGCUGAUCAGGAAGCUGCCGUUCCAGCGGCUGGUGAGGGAGAUUGCGCAGGACUUCAAGACGGACCUGCGGUUCCAGAGCCACGCGGUGCUGG